AUGUACAGCCUUCCCCCCUGGUUGCGCAUGAAGAGGAAGUACAUUCACAUGAGUAUGCUAAUUGAAGGGCCGAAACAACCAGGGAACGACAUCAAUCUGUAUCUAGGGCUGCUGAAGGAGGAGCUAGACAUGCUGUGGAAAACGCCAGCCAAUACAUGGGACGCCGCAGAGAAAGAAUAUUUCCCUAUGAGAGCCUCACUGCUCACGACGGUGCACGACUAUAUCGGUUACGAAUAUCUCGUGGGGAAGGUAGUCCACGGAUUUUCUGGAUGCAUAAGGUGCAUGGAUGACACAAUGUAUCGCCAGCUAGAUAGAGAUCCCGGGUCUUCGAAAACCGUGUUCAUGGGACAUCGAAGGUGGCUUCGCGACGAUGACCCGUGGAGGAAAUGCAAGGAUCUGUUCGAUGGUGAAAACGAACCCCGAAAACGCCCGUGUACGAGGAGCGGCGAGGAAAUAGACGAGCUGUUGAAAAAUUGGAAAGACUGCCCACUGCCUGGAAAGAAGCAAAAGGCGCCAGAUCCGGGAAAAAAGCGAAAGGCGCCAGAGCCGCUGCUGAAGGUAUGGAAAAUGAGGUCUGUUUUCUGGGACUUGCCGUACUGGAAGGUCCACCAUGUGCCUCACAGCCUUGAUGUCAUGCAUAUCACGAAGAACAUGUGCGAGAGUAUGCUUGGUACCCUGCUCAACAUGCCAGAGAGGACCAAAGAUGGACCGAAAGCAAGGGCAGACUUGAAAUCAAUGGGCAUCAGGCAGGAGCUUCACGCUAAUGAUGAUGAUGAUGAUGAGGCGAAGCAGGACACAGAAAGUCGUCGCAAAGGCAAAAAGGCCAAGAAGACCGGAAAUGACUACCCUCCCGCGUGCUUCACUCUAAGUCAGGAGGAGAUCGAGCAGUUUUUCACCUGCCUCCUAGGAGUAAAACUUCCAUACGGUUACGCGGGGAAGAUAAGCAGAUACCUAGACCCAGCGAAGCAGAAGUUCAGCGGGAUGAAGUCUCACGACUGUCACGUGCUGAUGAUGCAGAUACUUCCAGUUGCAAUCCGUGGGAUCAUGGACGCGCACGUCCGUGAAACGCUAUUUGGCCUAUGCUACUUUUUUGACGUCAUCUCUCGGAAGUCGAUCGGCGUGAGGCAACUCAGAAGGCUACAGGAAGAGAUUGUGGUGAUACUAUGUGAGCUUGAGAUGUACUUCCCGCCUGCAUUCUUCGACGUUAUGGUGCAUCUGCUGGUCCAUAUCGUGGAGGAUAUCAUCCAACUCGGGCCGACGUUCCUGCACAGCAUGAUGCCGUUCGAAAGGAUGAAUGGUGUGACACUCCAAAUUUUUUGUGGUUUUUGUUUUCAGAAAGAGCCUUGCUUGGUUUGA
rnacentral:rRNA from 1 species